rnacentral:RNase_P_RNA from 1 species
GGUGGCGAGCGGGCGGUCGCGUCGAUUUUUCGGCGAGGAAAGUCCGAGCACGGUAGGACAACGGUGGUGGGUAACACCCACCGGCCCGCGGGCUGCGGGUCAGGGACAGUGCCACAGAAAACAGACCGCCGAUGUGACUUCGGUCGCAGGUAAGGUUGAAAAGGUGCGGUAAGAGCGCACCGCCCGUUCCGGUGACGGACGGGGCACGGCAAACCCCACCGCGUGCAAGCGCAAGCAGUUCCACGCAUCGAGCGGCCUCGGUCGAUUCGGUGUGCCCGCGGUCCGCGGGUUGGAACGGGUGGCGUGCUGGAGGGUGUCGGCGACGACAUUCCCAGAGAAAUGACCGCCAGGCCGGCUUUUUCUCCGGAAGAACCGGCUGACGGAACUCGGCUUACAGCUCGUCUCAGUCC